ACCACUUCUCAGCCUUUUGGCUAAGAUCAAGUGUAGUGUCUGUUCUUACCGGUUUAAUAAUGGAUCAUUGCAGUGUUUCCUACUGAGUGCAAAGACAGUCUUGGGAUCUGUCUUAACACAG
ensembl:snRNA RNU2-34P RNA, U2 small nuclear 34, pseudogene